UCUUAGGUGCUUUUCAGCACCAACACUUAAAAAAGAAAAGAAAAAU
rfam:Tupaia chinensis contig119448, whole genome shotgun sequence.